rnacentral:lncRNA from 1 species
GGCGGCCAUAACUUUACGUUGAUUUUUGCAUUUCAGGCUGAUAAGUUAAUGAUAUCAUAAUUUGACGCUUGAACAUUAUACUAUACACGAUAACUUAAGAAGGAAAGGCUUACUUUCUAUUUUUGGCUGAAAUAUUUUACAAGAAAGUGCGUUCAUCUAAAUCAUGUUAUAGACUCGAAAAAAUGAACCGACGUGUAAAAGAUUUGAUGCAGGCAAUACCAUUCAUUUCAUUUUUAUUCAUCAUAACCACCAACAUGAAAGAAGAUAAAAUUCGGAUUUGAACGCAAGGUAUCCGCGUUUGACUCCGGUGAUAAACCAAUUCACAAGACAUCCGUUUUCCAGCGUUGAGGACCCCACCACAUGGUAAACGACUAUUUCGUAAAUCUGGGAAGAUAAACACCAAAUACUGAACAAAGUGAGUGAAAUUAAAAUCCAUAUGUGGUCAGUUCAUAACGACAAUUAAUUCUAAAACCUGGUACCACUGCAAUUUGUCUCUGAUAUGUAUUAUGUUCCCGGUGAUUUUAUAAUUAGGCCAAACAAAAAACAUGAGUGUUCUGAACUUUUCUACAAACAUACCUUCCUAUUUUGUAAGCGAAAAAAAGCCUACAUGAAGUUUAAUUUUUCAAGACGCAGUGUUAAAGUUAUAAUGUCCCUCCCAUAGACUCAAUCAGUUUAUGUAUAAACAAAUAAUAAAAAUGUUUAAAUGGGAAAAAAAUUCCUACCUACAUGUACCUAUUAAAAUAUACCCUAUCUAUUCAAAGAUGUAUCAGGAAACACACUCACAUAUUUUUUAACCUUACAAUUAUGCCAUUUAUCAAUAAGAAAUCAGCUCUAUUGACUAACUUGUUGUCCUGGUUUUCUGUUGUCCUCUUAUUAAACUGGUUAGUAUAAAAUAUAUAUGUUCAAAAAAGUGAAAAUUGGAAAGAAAGGAGCAGAUAUUAAGAAAAGGAUCAAGGGUCGAUGUUGCCUCAACCUUCGGGUUAAUCUGAAUUGAUGAAAUAUUUUUGCCACUUUUAUAAAACACUUAAAUCUAAGUGUCCAUACAUUCAUAGACUUUUAAUAGUACAUUGUAAUAGUUGAUUCAAUUAAUUCAUAUGAAAGAUUUUAACUCAUUUAGCUAUUAUGCUGAAAUUCAAGCUUUGAUAUGAAACAAUUAUCAAAUAUGCCAUUAUAUGUCACUUUUGAGAUGGUUUUUGUCAAAAAUGAAAACGAGUGCAUCCAUGUUAAUUCUCAACCUCUAAAUAUGUUAUGUAAAAUGCAUUGCAGCUCGAGUUAUUAUUUCAAACUGGACAGUGUUCAGCGCCAAGUAUUACAAAGUGAUUGGAUCAGAUCAAAAGAUGUAAAUCUUGAAGCACACAUUUCAACAUACAUGACAUAUAACCUAUAGAAAAAAGAGAAUAAGGAAAGACAGUGAAAAACAGGAAAUAUUUGAAAGGGUAAGCAUGGUAAACAUUUCUUUUUAAAUACAAUGUAUAGUAAUAUUCUGAUGAUGAAAUAAAUUUAUUAUAAUUUCCAUAAGGAAAUAAGCAUACCUCAUUUUAUAUUUAUCAUGUUACAAAAAUCUGCUUUAGACUCAAAUAAAUUUUAUAAAAUUUCAGAUAAAUAGUGUUUGAAGUAAACAAUUCAAAGAAAAAAGUAAGAUUGGGCUGACUGAGCUUUGAUUUUAAUCAAAUUUGGCCAUUUUCUUUCAAAUAUUUUACAAUAAUAAAAGAGUACUUGGCAUGAUUGCCAAUGACAUGAGUGAGAUACAUUUGUACCAGACCAGUGCAUUAGAUGAGUCAUGAAAAGUGUCUCUUGUCCUCUACAUCAGGAAUACUGAUACAAGCAUUUUUUUAUUGAAAAAACUUGCUUACAGAAUGUGGUUUAAAGUAUAUUUAUUUCUUGGUUUUAAUUUAUAUCAAUUUCUGGUACCUUUAUAAUAUACUUUUGAUAUGUCUCCAUUUGUUUUAUUUUAAUGUUUUAUAGAUACAGCUAUUAUUUCAUAUUGGACAAUGUUCAGCGGCAAGUAUUACAUUGUGAUUUGGAUCAGAUCAGAUCAAAGAUGUGUGUACAUUGAAGCAUACAUUCGGAGCCAUAGAAUAAAAAGAAAAAGAAAUUACAGUGAAAAACAGGUAACUUUGAAAGGUUAAACAGUUCUGUUUUAAAUAUGAUAGACUUAUUAAGAUAAUUUCUAUCCGAAAUUAGUAUACCUCAUUUCAUAUUUAUUGCUACAAAAUUUGCUUUUCAAUCAAAUAAAUUGUAUAAAAUUUCAGAUAAAUAUGUGUUGAAGUAAACAAUACAAAGAAAAAAUAAGUUCGGUAAUUGAGUACCAAGAGUCAAUUCAUAUAACAAAAGAGGGAUGUAUAAGUACGCAGCCACACGUUGGGCUGACUGAGCUUUGAUUUUAAUCAAAUUUGGCCAUUUUCUUUCAAAUAUUUUACAAUAAUAAAAGAGUACUUGUGGCAUGAUUGCCAAUGACAUGAGUGAGAUACAUUUGUACCAGACCAGUGCAUUAGAUGAGUCAUGAAAAGUGUCUCUUGUCCUCUACAUCAGGAAUACUGAUACAAGCAUUUUUUUAUUGAAAAAACUUGCUUACAGAAUGUGGUUUAAAGUAUAUUUAUUUCUUGGUUUUAAUUUAUAUCAAUUUCUGGUACCUUUAUAAUAUACUUUUGAUAUAUCUCCAUUUGUUUUAUUUUAAUGUUUUAUAGAUACAGCUAUUAUUUCAUAUUGGACAAUGUUCAGCGGCAAGUAUUACAAUGUGAUUUGGAUCAGAUCAAAAGAUGUUUACAUUGAAGCAUACAUUCCGACCAAUAGAAUAAAGAGAAAAAGAUGAUACAGUGAAAAACAGGAAAUAUUUGAAAGGGUAAACAUUUCUUUUUUAAAUAUGAUAGACUUAUUAUGAUAAUUUCCAUCCGGAAAUUAGUAUACCUCAUUUCAUAUUUAUUGUUACAAAAUUUGCUUUACAAAUAAAUUCUAUAAAAUUUCAGAUAAAUAGUGUUUGAAAUAAACAAUACAAAGAAAAACUAAGUUCGGUAAUUGAGAACAAAGAGUCAAUUCAUAUAACAAAAGAGGGAUGUAUAUGUACGUAGCCACACAUUGGGCUGACUGAGCUUUAAUUUAUUCAAAUUUGGCAACUUUCUUUCAAAUAUUUUACAAUAAUAAAAGAGAACUUGUGGCAUGAUCGCCAAUGAGAUAACUUUGUACAAGAGAUCAAAGUGCAUUAGAUGAGUACUUUAAAGUGUCUCUUGUCCUCUACAUCAGGAAUACUGAUACCAGCAUUUUUUUAUUAGAAAAUACUUACUUACAGAUUGUUGUUUAAAGUAUAUUUAUUUCUUAGUUAUAAUUUAUAUCAAUUUCUGGUACCUUUAUAAUAUACUUUUGAUAUAUCUCCAUUUGUUUUAUUUUAAUGUUUUAUAGAUACAGCUAUUAUUUCAUAUUGGACAAUGUUCAGCGGCAAGUAUUACAUUGUGAUUUGGAUCAGAUCAAAAGAUGUGUACAUUGAAGCAUACAUUCAGAACCAUAGAAUAAACAGAAAAAGAAAUUACAGUGAAAAACAGGUA